UCUGUGGACCAACAUGUUGAUGCUAGAGA
rnacentral:sRNA from 1 species